AUACGGAAGGUGCAAGCGUUACUCGGAAUCACUGGGCGUAAAGCGCAUGCAGGCGGUCUAAUAAGUUGGAAGUGAAAGCCUAUGGCUCAACCAUAGAACUGCUUCCAAAACUGUUAGACUAGAGUCUGGGAGGGGAAGAUGGAAUUAGUAGUGUAGGGGUAAAAUCCGUAGAGAUUACUAGGAAUACCAAAAGCGAAGGCGAUCUUCUGGAACAGUACUGACGCUGAGAUGCGAAAGCGUGGGGAGCAAACAGGAUUAGAUACCCUAGUAGUCC
rnacentral:rRNA from 1 species